ACAUAAUUAUAUUCCUAUUGUCAUGUUGGGUCGAGCAGUUAGACCAUGUAGUGUUUUCUCAUUGCACAAUGUUUGCAAAUCAAUAAGGAGAAAGCCUGAACAAUGCGAUGACGUUGGCCAGGAACCCGGCCCGAGUCACCCAGGAGGCGGCUCUGCAGUUUCUCAGGAGGACACAUUUGGACCUGACCUUCACCACUGGUCAUGUGAGAAAGCCUCUAUACCUGGUUCCUCAACGUCUCCGUUUAGAAGACUGCAUCAGCAAAACCAUCCUACCAUGGGAAUUAACUGAUGGAUGUGUCUGGACUUCCCAGGGGGUUCUCCAUGGACAGUAUUGUGCUGUUAAAGACGAGGAGACGGAGACCUAGAGGAAGUCAUUUGUACAAGGCCAUAUGGCUUGCUCCUGAUAGAUCUGGAAUUUGGACUCAGGCAGCCUGGUUCUGGAGCUGAAUUCUGAACUACCUAUAUCAUCCCACCUCAGUCCAGUGAGAGAACGUGUCACCUGAGUGCUCAAGAUACAUCAAGAGCCCGACCAUGUCCUGGAGCCUCUUAAGAGCGAAGCUCAGGGUGCAGGACCUGAGAGGGUGUUAAUCAGCCGCUUCCAUUUUUUUCUUAAUAUGGGAAGACCAGAUUUUGCUUGGCUUCUGGAAACCGCUGCCAUCUUGCUUUUCCUCCUACUUCAGCUCUUGGUCUCCUGUGCAGCUGGCUUUUCCUUCUUCCUGACUUUUCAAGCCCAUCCUUGGACCUCUUAUCUUCUCCAUCAAAAUUCUCUCCCUGGAUGAUUUCACUGAGGCCGAUGGCUUAAAUCCCUUAGAAAUACUGAUAGCUCCAAAUCCCUAUCUUUAGCCUGGCCUCCUGCCCUAGAAUUCACUUGUCUAAGUGCCUAGUGGAUUUCUCCACUUAGAUGUCUCAUAAGCAUUUCAAACCUGCCCAAAACGAAACUUGAUUACCAUCCCCAAACCACUCUUCCCUAAGAAAAUGGUGUCCCCGUUCCACCAGUUGCUCAGGCAAAAACCCUAGCAAUCAGCCUCACUUGCUUUCAUUCUCUCUCAUCUCCCACAUCAAACCCAUUAGCAAAUUCUGUUGGUUCUUUUUUGAAAUGUACUCGGAGGCUACUUCUCACCACAUGCUCUGCUAUGGUUCUAGCCCAAGCCACUGUCAGUCUCUCCCAGAGACACAAGCUGUACCUUCCUAACUCGCACCCCUGUGUGCAUCCCUGUGUGCAUCCCUGCUCACCCAAAGCCAACCCUUUGCAUAUAACCAGAGUGAUUUUUUUGAAAUGUAAAUAAGAACCGGUCACCACCCUAUUCAAAUCCUCCAGGGGCUUCUCAUUUCUCUUAGAACAAAACCCAGACUCCUGACUACAGCCCCAAAGCCCUACAUGAUCCUGCCCCAUUUACAGCUCCAGGCUCAUUACCUACCUCGUGCUCCCAGCCCACGGAUCAUCGCCUACCACAUGCUCCCAGCCCCCGGAUCUCCAGCACAUCAGCCUCUUGGCUCUUCUUAGAACUCCCUGAAUUCACUCCUGUCUCAAGGACUUUCCUGUGCUUUUCCUUAGACAGGAGACACCCCUCCCAGUUCACAUGGCUCACUCGCUUCAUCCAGGUCUCUUCUCCAGUGUCCCCUCCUUGUGACCCCUGGAUCUAAAGGAGUUGAACCACCCCACUCCUACCCUUAUAUUCUCAUAGCUCCUCACGCUGCCUCACUUUUAGCAAGAUUUCAUUAAAAUUUUAUUGCUGUCUAAAAUUCUAUUAUAUAUUUAACCAUUUACUUGUUUAGUAUCUGUGUCUUCCAUUAGCAAGUAAGUUCUGGCCAGGCGUGGUGGCUCACACCUGUAAUCCCAGCACUUUGGGAGGCUGAGGCAGGCAGAUCACCUGAGGUCAGGAGUUUGAGACCAGCCUGGUCAACGUGGUGAAACCCUGUCUCUACUAAAAAUACAAAAAUUUGCCGGGUGUGGUGGCAUGCACCUGUAAUCUCAGCUACUCGGGAGGCUGAGGCAGGAGAAUCGCUUGAACCUGGGAGGUGGAGGCUGCAGUGAGCCAAAAGAAAGAAAGAAAGUAAGUUCCAUGAAGGCAGAAA
rnacentral:lncRNA from 10 species